rnacentral:rRNA from 1 species
CCUACGGGUGGCAGCAGUGGGGAAUAUUGGACAAUGGGCGAAAGCCUGAUCCAGCCAUGCCGCGUGUGUGAAGAAGGCCUUCGGGUUGUAAAGCACUUUCAGUGGGGAAGAAAGCCUUGGGGCUAAUACCCUCGAGGAAGGACAUCACCCACAGAAGAAGCACCGGCUAACUCCGUGCCAGCAGCCGCGGUAAUACGGAGGGUGCGAGCGUUAAUCGGAAUUACUGGGCGUAAAGCGCGCGUAGGCGGUCUGAUAAGCCGGUUGUGAAAGCCCCGGGCUCAACCUGGGAACGGCAUCCGGAACUGUCAGGCUAGAGUGCAGGAGAGGAAGGUAGAAUUCCCGGUGUAGCGGUGAAAUGCGUAGAGAGCGGGAGGAAUACCAGUGGCGAAGGCGGCCUUCUGGACUGACACUGACGCUGAGGUGCGAAAGCGUGGGUAGCAAACAGGAUUAGAUACCCGGGUAGUC